rnacentral:tRNA from 1 species
GCCUCGCUGUCUCAGCCGGUAGAGUGUGCGACUCCUGAUCUCAGAUCGUGCGUUCAAGCCUCACGUUGGGCA